rnacentral:lncRNA from 1 species
UAGGCACUUUUGAGGUCAAGUUUAGUAAAAAUUGUAGAACCUUGUAUUUUAGCAAGUAAUUGUUCAAUAAGUGGUAACGGAUAUAUAUUGGGUUUGACAUACUUAUUUAAAGGUUUGUAGUCAACCACCAUUCUCAAGGUGCCUUCCUUUUUCGGAACGAACAUUACUGGACAGGCGUUAAUGGCUUUAGAUUCUCGUAUAAUUCCACUUUUUAAUCCUUGAUUAAUUUCAUCAUUCAUAGCUUGCAUUUUUCCCGGUGGUAGCGGGUAAUUUCUGAUAGGUAAUCUGUAGUUUUCUUGAGUUAGUUCAACUUCAAAUUCUAACCCUUUUAUUGGCUUUGGUAGCUUUUCCGUAUUGGUUUCUGCAGUAAUGUCUUUGAAUUCUUUAUAGAUAUCUGGUAACUCAGGUUCCUUGACAAUAUUUGAAACUUUGUUCAUUUGAGAGAGCGUGUGUUUACUGCUAGAUAUUUCAAUGUUAUUGUCAUAUAAUGUUGUGAAGGAGAUAGCAGCUGGAUGCGAAAAUUUCUUUACAACCAAGAAUUCUGUUUUGAUUGAUAUUCCAUUUAGACUUAUGUUAAGUUUUAUUGUUUUGCGAUUAAUCUUAUUUGGAUAAACUCCACCAUAUAUCACACUUUUUGACCAGGGUCUGGUAGGCAGUUUAUGUGCUCGAACAGUUUCUUCUGUUAUAAUAUUUGCUUGAGCGCCCGUAUCGAUUAGACAGGGUAUUGAGCACUUGAAGUCUGGAAGUUCAGCUUGUAAUACCAUUUCGUAACGUUUCCUAGUAUGAUUUAGGAAUUUGUUAGAUGAGUAUUCUAUUCUCGAAACAUUUGUCUUCCUCAGGUUUCUGCUAUUAGUGGUGUUAUUUUUCUUUGAAAGGGACUCUUUUCCUAGAUUUUUAUUUUGCGGUUGAAAACGCUUGUGAGUUUUACCAUACGAGGCU